UCAGGGAACUGUGGAAGUCUGUGUGAAACCUGUUGAUCAGUUUUUGUUAAUAUUCUAACAAUCAAAAACACAAGAUGGCUUAGGAGCAUAUCACAGAAUUUCUCAUUCCAAAAAGAACACAUUUUCCCAUAGGCCAUGUAGGAACAGUUCAAAGCAUUAAAAAAAUCCAAAGAUAUAUGAAAUACUAAAUUGCAGUAUUUUCUGUUAUGUACUAGUAGAACAUUAUGGCUUGUCAACAGAAUAUAAAGAGAUAGUACUUGACUAUUUUUGGUAAAGUACACUCAAAAUGCCUUUAUUUGUUCCCAGACAAGGUGGAAGAGUUCUAUGUGGAAUGCAACAUGCUUCAUCAUAAUGCAACAGAGAACAUCAUUGACAUGAUACAGUGUGACUACUGUUCAAGGUGGACGCACAAAGAAUGUGCCACAGACAUGGGUGACAUGUUCAAAUGUGAAAAGUGUAACAUCAAUUAAACAGUUUUACCCCACCA